rnacentral:rRNA from 1 species
GCAGUUAAAAAGCUCGUAGUUGGAUUUCGGAGUGGGCCAGUUGGUCCGCCGCAAGGUGUGUUACUGACUGGUUUGCUCUUCUGCGCAAAGACUGCGUGUGCUCUUUGUUGAGUGUGCGUAGGAUUUACGUCGUUUACUUUGAAAAAAUUAGAGUGUUCAAAGCAGGCUAUUGCUUGAAUACAUGAGCAUGGAAUAAUGGAAUAGGACUUUGGUCCCAUUUUGUUGGUUUCUAGGACCGAAGUAAUGAUUAAGAGGGACAAUUGGGGGCAUCCGUAUUUCGUUGUCAGAGGUGAAAUUCUUGGAUUUGCGAAAGACGAACAACUGCGAAAGCACUUGCCAAGAGUGUUUUCAUUAAUCAAGAACGAAAGUUAGUGGAUCGAAGACGAUCAGAUACCGU